rnacentral:rRNA from 1 species
UACGUAGGUUGCAGGCGUUAAUCGGAAUUACUGGGCGUAAAGCGUGCGCAGGCGGCUUCCUAAGUCAGAUGUGAAAUCCCCGGGCUUAACCUGGGAACUGCGUUUGAAACUGGGAGGCUAGAGUGCGGCAGAGGGAGGUGGAAUUCCACGUGUAGCAGUGAAAUGCGUAGAUAUGUGGAGGAACACCGAUGGCGAAGGCAGCCUCCUGGGCCAGCACUGACGCUCAUGCACGAAAGCGUGGGGAGCAAACAGG